rnacentral:rRNA from 1 species
AAUCCUUCACCAUCUCGGUGACAGGAAAUGUGGUGUUUAGGCCGUACCUUGUCCCGACACGUCUCUCCUCAAGUCCACUUGAUUGUGGCCCCAGGCCCAGAGAGGGUGUAAGGCCCGUGGAGGCGAGACGUUCGGUACCUGGUGCGUCCUUAGAGUCGGGUUGUUUGGGAAUGCAGCCCUAAGCGGGUGGUAAACUCCAUCCAAGGCUAAAUACCAGCACGAGUCCGAUAGCGAAGAAGUACCGCGAGGGAAGGUUGAAAAGAACUUUGAAGAGAGAGUUCAAGAGUACGUGAAACCGCUGAGAGGCAAACUGGUGGAACUGAAAUGGUCCCGAGGAAUUCAGCCGUUGGUCGUUGCACAGUCUUUGGUGAUUGAUCUAACGACGGCGCCAUUGAAUGACGUUUCGAUCAUCGGUGCACUUUCCUCGCCUGGGCCCGACCACGACCGGUGAGCUGAUCUGUCUGUCGUGCUUGGAAGAUAGCGCCGUCUUCGGAAGGCGUGUUAUAGACAGGCAUACGGAGCAGUCGGCGCACUGGAUGAUAGUGCCUGCCCAUCUGGGCUCAUAUGGUGGUUGUUUUGUUGGCGAGUUCUGAUGUCACUACUUCGGUAGAGUCGUUAGACUCUGUUGGCAUUAUGGCUGUCCUCUAUGAUUGGCACUGUUAAGUCUGUGGUUGUGAAGUAGGUAGUCCACCUGACCCGUCUUGAAACACGGACCAAGGAGUCUAACAUGUGCGCGAGUCAUUGGGUUCACGAAACCUAAAGGCGCAGUGAAGGUAAAGAUCUGUUUUGGCAGAUUGAGGUGGGAUGCCGGGUUACGCGCCCGGCCGCACUACCGGCCCGUUCUAUAUGUCUUUCAUAGGAGCGGAGCAAGAGCGUACACGUUGGGACCCGAAAGAUGGUGAACUAUGCUUGCGCA